UUACAGAGUUAGCUUACAAUUAUAGUGAAUUUGUAUUUGAUUUUAAAUAGCCUAGUCAACAAGAAUUUGUUAUAUUUAGGAAGUAGUAGGUAGCUAACAGAGGAGUAGGAAGUAGUAGGUAGCUGACAGAGGAGUAGGAAGUAGUAGGUAGCUGACAGAGGAGUAGGAAGAAGUAGGUAGCUGACAGAGGAGUAGGAAGAAGUAGGUAGCUGACAGAGGAGUAGGAAGUAGUAGGUAGCUGACAGAGGAGUAGGAAGUAGUAGGUAGCUGACAGAGGAGUAGGAAGAAGUAGGUAGCUGACAGGAGUAGGAAGUAGUAGGUAGCUGACAGAGGAGUAGGAAGUAGUAGGUAGCUGACAGAGGAGUAGGAAGUAGUAGGUAGCUGACAGAGGAGUAGGAAGUAGUAGGUAGCUGACAGAGGAGUAGGAAGUAGUAGGUAGCUGACAGAGGAGUAGGAAGUAGUAGGUAGCUGACAGAGGAGUAGGAAGUAGUAGGUAGCUGACAGAGGAGUCACGCACCUUGAUGGACGAAUUCUUUACACUUAUCUUUUAAUUAACUUAAUUAAUUUUUUAAAAAAGCAAUAUUUUCAUGAUAUUCAGCAUAUUAAUGGUUAUCACUGUGUGGGCCUGUGUCUCUCCAGUCCCAGACACACAGACAAACUGUGUUAUGAACCCCCAGCCCAGUAGACAACAAGGUAUCAGGUGUCAAAACAUCACACCUGUUAGAUUAUUGAAAUGAUGUCAUCUGUUUACAUAUACAUGUCAUUCAAUAAACA